rnacentral:misc_RNA from 1 species
AACGCACAUUGCGCCCCUCGGUAUUCCGUGGGGCAUGCCUGUUCGAGCGUCAUUUACACCCUCAAGCACUGCUUGGUGUUGGGCGUCUGUCCCGCUUCGUGCGUGGACUCGCCCCAAAGUCAUUGGCGGCGGUCGUGCCAGCUUCUCGCGCAGCAUACGCGCUACGGAGGCAAGUCGAUCAGCAUCCACAAAGCACUUUUUACAGUUUGACCUCGGAUCAGGUAGGGAUACCCGCUGAACUUAA